rnacentral:rRNA from 1 species
CUUGGUGUUUAUAACGCGUGGGGUACACCUGUAUCCAUUCCGAACACAGAAGUUAAGUCACGUCGUGCCUAUGGUACUUCCGUUAGAAGCGGUGGGAGAGUCGGUAGACGCCAAGA